UGGGGAAUUUUGGACAAUGGGCGAAAGCCUGAUCCAGCAAUGCCGCGUGUGUGAAGAAGGCCUUCGGGUUGUAAAGCACUUUUGUCCGGAAAGAAAUCCUUGGCUCUAAUACAGUCGGGGGAUGACGGUACCGGAAGAAUAAGCACCGGCUAACUACGUGCCAGCAGCCGCGGUAAUACGUAGGGUGCAAGCGUUAAUCGGAAUUACUGGGCUAAAGCGUGCGCAGGCGGUUUGCUAAGACCGAUGUGAAAUCCCCGGGCUCAACCUGGGAACUGCAUUGGUGACUGGCAGGCUAGAGUAUGGCAGAGGGGGGUAGAAUUCCACGUGUAGCAGUGAAAUGCGUAGAGAUGUGGAGGAAUACCGAUGGCGAAGGCAGCCCCCUGGGCCAAUACUGACGCUCAUGCACGAAAGCGUGGGGAGCAAACAGGAUUAGAUACCCUGGUAGUCCACGCCCUAAAACGAUGUCAACUAGUUGUUGGGGAUUCAUUUCCUUAGUAACGUAGCUAACGCGUGAAGUUGACCGCCUGGGGAGUACGGUCGCAAGAUUAAAACUCAAAUGAAUUGACGGGGUCAUA
rnacentral:rRNA from 1 species